rnacentral:rRNA from 1 species
ACGGGAGGCAGCAGCUAAGAAUAUUCCGCAAUGGACGAAAGUCUGACGGAGCGACGCCGCGUGGAUGAUGAAGGUCGGAAGAUUGUAAAAUCCUUUUAUAACUGAGGAAUAAGCAGGGUGCGAGGAACGCCUUGUGGUGACCGUAGGUUAUGAAUAAGCAACGGCUAAUUACGUGCCAGCAGCCGCGGUAAUACGUAAGUUGCGAGCGUUGUUCGGAAUUAUUGGGCGUAAAGGGCGUGUAGGCGGAUAUGCAAGCUUGGUGUGAAAGGCGGGAGCUCAACUCCCGAACUGCGUUGAGAACUGCAUAACUAGAGUGACUGAGGGGCAGGCAGAACUCCAGGUGUAGGGGUGAAAUCUGUAGAUAUCUGGAAGAAUACCAAUGGCGAAGGCAGCCUGCCAGCAGAUGACUGACGCUGAGGUGCGAAGGUGCGGGGAGCAAACAGGAUUAGAUACCCUGGUA